rfam:Gossypium hirsutum cultivar TM-1 chromosome 14, whole genome shotgun sequence
UGUUAAAAAUUUAAUCCAUUUUUACUGUUAAAAACUUAUGUAGUUGACAAUUAUACACGACGUGUCAUAUAUAGCUCAUGCUGACAUAUAAAAAUUAUUUUUUAACAAUAGAAAUAGGUAAAAUUUUUAAUA